AUAUCAGUCAUGCAUAGCAUAUCAAUAAGCGGAGGAAAAGAAACUAACAAGGAUUCCCCUAGUAACUGCGAGUGAAGCGGGAAGAGCUCAAAUUUGAAAGUCUUAAAAGGUUUUCCUUUUACGAAUUGUAGUUUAAAGAAGUGUUUUCUGUUGAAAUUUUAGUAAAAGUUCUUUGGAAUAGGACAUCAUAGAGGGUGAGAAUCCCGUAUUUGACUAGGAAUUUUUCAACUUUGAUGAUACACUUUCAAAGAGUCGGAUUGUUUGGGAAUGCAGUCCAAAGUGGGUGGUAAAUUUCAUCUAAGGCUAAAUAUUGGCGAGAGACCGAUAGCGAACAAGUACCGUGAGGGAAAGAUGAAAAGAACUUUGAAAAGAGAGUUAAAUAGUACGUGAAAUUGUCAAAAGGGAAGCGUUUGGCACCAGUGUUGUUUUUCUAAAAAUCAAUUUAAAAUUUGCUUAUGCUAAGUGUUUUAGACUUAAUCGGCUAUAAUUUAAUUUUUUGUAAAUUUUGAAUGCACUUUUUAGUUAACAAGUCAACAUCAAUUUCUUUUGUUGUAAAAGAAUAAGAGGAAGGUGGCUUGGAUUUAGUUUCAAGUGUUUAUAGCCUUUUAUUUAUGCAAUAGGAGGGAUUGAGGUCUGCAGCAUAGAUCCUUCGGGGCUAGAUGCAUUUUUGCUAAGAAGUCAGUAUUAUAUAAACAACUUGUUGAUUAUGUAGUAUGUUGAUUUCUACUCGCGAGGUGUUAUUUUACCUACGCUUAGGAUGUUGACGCAUGAGAUAUACGC
rnacentral:rRNA from 1 species